UUUCCCUGGGACAGCGGCGCUUUUCAGUUGAAGAUACACGAGAGGAGAGAAUGAAAAAAGACCAGCAAGGUAAAAUAAUCUAUAUAAGUUAUUUAUUAUCAGACCCGCGGUUGUUGUUUACCCGAACGGGACAUUUUAAAACCGUUAACCGGACGCGUUGCUUAACGUAUAACGGUAAUAUUAGUUGACCAAAGUCAGUAUAAACCUUAUUAAUAAAUCAUACUAUGUGUAUGCAAGCCUACGAGCACGCGCGGUGCGUUAAAUUACACGCUAGUGUUUUCCUUUUAUAAAACUAUUAUGAGAAAUGCUUAACGUAGCCUAAUGUAUACGUCAAUGAUAUGAAAAGAUCAGAUUUAGUAUAUAACGUUACCACAGAGAAUAAUUUAUUAAUAUAAAAGCAUAUUUAAAAAAGUGUAAGUUACCACGUUGUGUUUAUAUUCUCAUCCGCUUGGCUUUACCUGUUACAUAAAUGAUGCGUUAUUAAUAAGGUGUAUAACUAAAUUUUAUCUUUCAAAUUCGAUAAACUACGUUAAGCAUUUUAGAAAGUCCCAUGUGAACAUAAUAAGAGUUUCCUUAACAUUUAGUUUUACAAACGACUUCAACGUAUGAGCGUAUGUUAUGUGUGUGUUGUGGCCAAUCGGAAAAACAUUAUAUUUUCAAUGUGAAUAUGUUUAAACAUAAAGGCUGAAACCUAAUUUGCAUAAAAUAAAGUUUUAAAAUGUGUUUUUGUUUUGUAUUAAAUUGCUUUUGAGGCCAAGGUAGCUGUACAGUAAAUAUUCAGCCUCCAUCAGAGAACCAUGUCCCACUGUCAUAAUACACAGACCUGUGGCAAUGUGUAGUGAUUUGAGUAGUGUACAUCUACUCUGGUUAUUAUUUCAAAACAGUAUUUACUGAAAAAUAUGAGUGUUUAGCAUCAUGUAUUAAAUGUGUUAAAUAUGUCCUUUUUUCCCUGCAUUUAUUCUGCUGUCUAAAAUUCUUUGGGAGGAUAAAUUAAGGAGGAUGUAACAAAAUACACUGAAAGAACUGGAAUGAGAGACAAGUGAGGAUGAAGAGGACAACAGAAUAUCCAUCCUUUCUUCACCACCUCACAGAGUUUGAGUGAAACAACUUGUAUUAGGACUCACAGGAUUAUUUUAUAACAAGACUGAUUAUUUUAUACCAGAAGUAUGGUAUUUUUUUGAAGCUACUGUAUUAUUUCUUAUGACAAUGCAUUUUGAUGUGCAUUCAGAACUGUAAGUUGCAAAAACAUUCAUAACGUUAUUGGGAACUUUGGAAACUUUCAAGGAACAUUCUUAGAACCUUUCUCUGUGGUUGAGCAUUGUGUUAGCAUCAUAAAAUGCAAUGGGUUCGAACAAGGUAAUGCACAUGCUGAUAAAAAAUUUAUACUUUGCAUUGCACUGUAUGUUAUUUGCCUUUUUCUGUAAAUGUGAAGAUAAAUGUAAAGACAGACAGUCAUUGUUUAAUUUUAAACCAGUUCUAUUUUAAGAUAACUUAACUAGACUAAAUAAAAGGGUCACAAAAAUUUUAAUUUUGCUAUUAUGAUGCUGAUUUUGUGGUGUUUUGGGUUUUCUGGUUACAGUGGUAGCGGAUCAUGAUCACCUCUCUAGCUUCAAAAGUAGGAUGCAAAAUGUAUAACACCAAAUCAUUAUAGCAUAACUCCUUUAACUUGACAUGAUUUAAAAUCGUCUAAAGGCAGACAUGAUUGCGUGUGAAGUCCUAUGCCAAAGACUCUCCAAAUACUGCAUCUACACAUUCUUCCUGAUGUGUAUAUUUUGUUGGUAUAUCCUGGUUGUUGCAGACCUGACAGUAAACUUGACUGUGAGCAUCCUAUCCAUCAGGUAUAGCUGUUUACUUGCAUUACUCAUUUAGAGAAAUGACAGGUCAAAAUUUAUUAUAUGGAUUAUAUUUUCAUCACCCCCUUUUGUAUGUCUUUGGGACACUUGAAAUAUAUAGCACGUAUAAUGUGGAGCCAUUUUAUAAUGCGGUCACAGACUACUCCCAUUGUAACUGGAAAACCAAAGAAAAUCAUUGUUUAAAUUAUAAAAUUAUAAUUUUUGGAUUAAUUUAACCUGUAAUCAGUGUUAUAUAUGUAUGUUUAUAAUUUGUGUUAUUUUAAAUGUAUUACUGCAAAUGAUUUGAAAUGUGUAUGUUUUAAAUGGAAAUUCACACAACUUCUUAAAGUAUUUGUAUUGUUUUAA